UGGGGAAUAUUGCACAAUGGGCGCAAGCCUGAUGCAGCCAUGCCGCGUGUGUGAAGAAGGCCUUCGGGUUGUAAAGCACUUUCAGCGGGGAGGAAGGCGAUAAGGUUAAUAACCUUGUCGAUUGACGUUACCCGCAGAAGAAGCACCGGCUAACUCCGUGCCAGCAGCCGCGGUAAUACGGAGGGUGCAAGCGUUAAUCGGAAUUACUGGGCGUAAAGCGCACGCAGGCGGUCUGUCAAGUCGGAUGUGAAAUCCCCGGGCUUAACCUGGGAACUGCAUUCGAAACUGGCAGGCUAGAGUCUUGUAGAGGGGGGUAAAAUUCCAGGUGUAGCGGUGAAAUGCGUAGAGAUCUGGAGGAAUACCGGUGGCGAAGGCGGCCCCCUGGACAAAGACUGACGCUCAGGUGCGAAAGCGUGGGGAGCAAACAGG
rnacentral:rRNA from 1 species